rnacentral:rRNA from 1 species
UUGACAUCCACAGAACUUUCCAGAGGAUGGAUUGGUGCCUUCGGGAACUGUGAGACAGGUGCUGCAUGGCCGUCGUCAGCUCGUGUUGUGAAAUGUUGGGUUAAGUCCCGCAACGAGCGCAACCCUUAUCCUUGUUGCCAGCGGUCCGGCCGGGAACUCAAAGGAGACUGCCAGUGAUAAACUGGAGGAAGGUGGGGAUGACGUCAAGUCAUCAUGGCCCUUACGACCAGGGCUACACACGUGCUACAAUGGCGCAUACAAAGAGAAGCGACCUCGCGAGAGCAAGCGGACCUCAUAAAGUGCGUCGUAGUCCGGAUUGGAGUCUGCAACUCGACUCCAUGAAGUCGGAAUCGCUAGUAAUCGUGGAUCAGAAUGCCACGGUGAAUACGUUCCCGGGCCUU